GACGAACGCUGGCGGCGUGCUUAACACAUGCAAGUCGAGCGGCGCGGCGAACGGGUGAGGAACGCGUCAGUAACUGCCCCCCUCUCUAGGAUCACAGUUGGAAACGGCAACUAAUACCGGAAAGUGGGGGAUGACUCGCGUCCUAUGAGCUGGUUGGUGGGGUAGUGGCCUACCAAGGCGAGGACGGGUAGCCGGCCUGGGAGGGGGAACGCGCACCAUAGGCUGCGGUACGGCGCAAAAGGCAACGGUAGGCAGUGGAGGGGAGUAUUGCACAAUGGGGGAAAGUGUGUGAAAGCAGCGUUGGGUGCGGAAUGCUGGGUUUCGGGUGGUAAACCGCUUUCAGCGAUGACGCGGUAGUUGCAGAAGAAGCACCGGCUAACUACGUGCCAGCAGCCGCGGUAAUUC
rnacentral:rRNA from 1 species